rnacentral:rRNA from 1 species
UUUAACCUGGUUUGAUCCUGCCAGUCGUGGUAUGGUUCUUUCAAGGAAUAAGCCAUGCAUGUGUCAGAGAAAGCGACUGCCCUUAGCAAAACAGUGGAUCUGCGAAUGGCUCAUUAAAUCCAGCAUUCAUCUGCCCAGCCAGGCUCGAGUGAGAAGCUAAGGACGUGGUACUCUCGGGUAUCCAUCCGCCACAUGAACAGCCGCUCCAACUGGACGGCUAAUGCAUGCAAGGAGAAUGCCUCGGUUGUUGGUUUUCUGCAGGCUGUGUGAGUGGCUUUGUAGACUGCCAUCAUAAGAAGGAUACCUGGCAACCUGCCUGGAUCUCUCUUGGAACUAGCAUGCGGUGGAUCGACACGCGAAGACCAGCGCUUCGGCUCUCUUGGCCAAGCAGUUUGCAUGGAAGAAUCAGAUCCACCGUGUCACGGGUGAUAGCAGUGCGCAACACUUUCGGGAUGUUGCUUUGCCCUACGGUUGGGAUUCUGACCUAUCAGCUGAAGAUUGUGGCAUAUUGGCCUACAAUUGCCUUCACGGGUAACGGGGGAUGUGGGUUCGAUCCCGGAGAGGGAGCCUGAGAAACGGCUACCACGGCUAAGGCUGGCAGCAGGCGCGAAAAUUGCCCAUUGCAGACUCUUUGUAGUGUGAGGCAGCGACGAAAAAUGGCAGCAGUGCCCGUCAUCUGAUGGGUGCUGCUUGGCAAUGGAUGACAUUCAAAUCUCUCAGUGAGUAUCAAUCAGAGGGCAAGUCUGGUGCCAGCAGCCGCGGUAAUUCCAGCUCUGAGAGUGUAUGCAAAUGUUGCUGCUGUUAAAACGCUCGUAGUCGAUAGAAAGCAGUGGGCAGUGUCGCCCUGGAUUGCGUCCGGGUCUUGUGCCCUUGCAGCUCAGGCGAAAGGCGUUCUCUGUCGCCCAGCAGCACAGCAAAGCUGUGUCUUUGGCGUGUCAGUGGCCCUUCCUUUGUGACACCUUGCAGCUUGUCUGACAUGGAAAUGAUCCCCUUCGUUGGCAUAUUCUUGAGUGAUUGUGGCAGCAGUUUCCGCACGGACAGCAUGCGAGAAACAGGCUCUAUGACUGGGGCGUCCAUGGCAGUCACCAUGAACAAAACAGCGUGUCCAAGGCAGCCGAUUCGCUCGGCAGAAUGGUGAAGCAUGGGAUGACAAGGGAUCGACCGUUGAUGCGGCUUUUCUCACGGCACUUACAUGCUCAGUGGACAAUCCUGAGGCAGGCAGGUCUGACGCGUCCCUCACACGGCGCUGCAUUCUGUGCAGGCGGUUGUGCUUAAAGGAUGUGCCUUUCUGUCUGUUCUCAAAUGGUAAAGAUGAGAAUCCUUGGGGCUGUGCAUAUCGCAAGGCGAGAGGUGAAAUUCUGUGACCCUUGUGAGAUGAACUGUAGCGAAGGCGUUCAGCAAAAGGAUGUCUGUCGAUCAAGAACGAGAGUCUGGGGAUCGAAGAUGAUCAGAUACCGUUGUAGUCCAGGACCGUCAACCGUGCCAGCGGAGUGCAGGGUUUGCCAAGCCGAGCCUUUCUGCUCACUGCCAUUCUCUGUGCUUCAAUUCCCCUCAGACCGAGAAAUCCAAGCUUGUGGGUUCAGGGGGGAGUACUGUUGCAAGGCUGAAACUUAAAGGAAUUGACGGAAUGACACCACCAGGCGUGGAGUCUGCGGCUUAAUUUGACUCAAGCACGGGAAACGUUACCAGGGCCUGACCGCCUGUGAUGAU